UGAACUGAGACGAAACCAAAGGCAGGCUAUGCUUUUUAAACGGACCCUUCACCUGAAAGAAAAAAAUAGAAGCAUAUUAAAGAAAGCUCUCCAGGCCAAGUUAUUCUGUUUGGCUCCAACUCUGACUGUAUCCCUGGACCUGUGCUUCUGUCGGCUCUGUCCUCUCAACCCUCAGUCAAUCACACUGAUGCAGGAAGGCAGAGAGUACUGGCAGCAGAGGAGGUGGCAUUCUGGGAGGAUGGCAACUAUGAGGGGGAGUCAAGAUGGACGUUGGUGAGGUGAAGACCCCAAGUUCCCAUUCAGGAGCUCAAUGACCUCAAGUCUACCCUACAGGAGAGACGGCAUCCGGUCCCAAUCAUUACCAGUUCUGAUGAUGUCACAAAGCAAGUUCACAACAUCCUAAAAUUAUAAGUCUUACUUUUUUCUUUGCCGUUUCUUCUGUACUCUUUAAAAUACCAGUGCUUUCUAAUUACUCUAUUGUUCUUUUUUGUAGGUUUCUGUAAACUCACUGUUCUUAGGAAGGAGAAAUGUCAGUUUAUCUGGAAUACUGUGACAUUGAAUGAAAACAAUACUCUGUCCUUGGUGAAAUAUUUUUCACAUUUCCUCCAAAGUGUACCUAUUGUUUUAUUGUGCUAAUUUUCAUAAGCAGGUUGACUGUAAACUUUGAAUGUAUUGACAAUUUGUACAAUUCUGUUACAGUAUAUCGGCAAUGUACUCUUGAAAAAUGUGGGUAACAUUUUAUUUGACAGGGUGUGCAUAAGACUUGACAUGAUACUGCCAUAAAACA